AGGAAGCAAGCUAUCAACACAUGGACCUUUGGGGCAUUUCAGAUUCAAGCUAUAACAGAUGGAUAAAGACCACUUCUGGGGACAUAUAGACAACUCAGCACCAUUCAGUGCAAUAAGUGCUUUACUAGAAGCAAACACAGCAAGCAAAGGGGAUACAAAGAAAGAGUACCUUUCUGUAGACACUGAGGGAAGGCUGCACAAGAAUCCUGUGAGCAUAUGUGUACAGCUGACCUCACUGGACUCUUUGGGAUUAGUGGUCUUCUAUGUGGACUGACGUCAUAGUUGUCAUCACCAUCAUUUUCAUCAUCUCCUACAACCCACCAAGAAAUCAUGGUACGAGCCUAUUUUUGCAAUUUCAUUUUUAGUUACUCAAGUAAC
rnacentral:lncRNA from 1 species